rnacentral:rRNA from 1 species
CCUACGGGAGGCAGCAGUCGAGAAUCAUUCACAAUGGGGGAAACCCUGAUGGUGCGACGCCGCGUGGGGGAAUGAAGGUCUUCGGAUUGUAAACCCCUGUCAUGUGGGAGCAAAUUAAAAAGAUAGUACCACAAGAGGAAGAGACGGCUAACUCUGUGCCAGCAGCCGCGGUAAUACAGAGGUCUCAAGCGUUGUUCGGAAUCACUGGGCGUAAAGCGUGCGUAGGCUGUUUCGUAAGUCGUGUGUGAAAGGCGCGGGCUCAACCCGCGGACGGCACAUGAUACUGCGAGACUAGAGUGAUGGAGGGGGAAGCGGAAUUCCCGGUGUAGCAGUGAAAUGCGUAGAUAUCGGGAGGAACACUAGUGGCGAAGGCGGGUUCCUGGACAUUAACUGACGCUGAGGCACGAAGGCGAGGGGAGCGAAAGGGAUUAGAUACCCGAGUAGUC